UACGGAGGGUGCGAGUGGUAUUCGGCCGUACUGGGCGGAAAGCGCGUGUAGGCGGGGAUGCAAGUCUGAUGUGAAAGCCCCGGGCUUAACCUGGGAAGUGCAUUGGAAACUGCAUUUCUUGAGUGCUGGAGAGGAAGGGGGAAUUCCCGGUGUAGAGGUGAAAUUCGUAGAGAUCGGGAGGAAUACCAGUGGCGAAGGCGACCUUCUGGACGGCAACUGACGCUGAGACGCGACAGCCUGUGGAGCAAACAGG
rnacentral:rRNA from 1 species